UCUCUGCAGAAGGAACUCACAACCUGGU
rnacentral:piRNA from 1 species